rnacentral:rRNA from 1 species
AUACGUAGGGGGCGAGCGUUGUCCGGAAUGACUGGGCGUAAAGGGCGUGUAGGCGGCCGAUUAAGUCUGGAGUGAAAGUCCUGCUUUCAAGGUGGGAAUUGCUUUGGAGACUGGUUGGCUUGAGUGCGGAAGAGGUAAGUGGAAUUCCCAGUGUAGCGGUGAAAUGCGUAGAGAUUGGGAGGAACACCAGUGGCGAAGGCGACUUACUGGGCCGUAACUGACGCUGAGGCGCGAAAGCGUGGGGAGCGAACAGGAUUAGAUACCCUGGUAGUCCACACUGUAAACGAUGAAUGCUAGGUGUAGGGGGUAUCGACCCCUUCUGUGCCGCAGUCAACACAAUAAGCAUUCCGCCUGGGGAGUACGGCCGCAAGGUUGAAACUCAAAGGAAUUGACGGGG